rnacentral:RNase_MRP_RNA from 16 species
UACUUGCCCGGAGGAAAGUCCCCGAUCACUUCCACGGAGUCGUCCCUGGGAUCGA